AUGGAUUCCAUCUUGGCUAAUGGGACAUGGGAGAUCACUGAUCGUCCCUAUGGUUGUCAACCAUUAGGAUGUAAGUGGGUGUUCAAGAAUAAGCUUAGGCCCGAUGGUACUGUUGAGAAGUACAAGGCUAGGCUUGUGGCCAAGGGUUAUACCCAGAAAGAAGAAGAGGAUUUCUCUGACACUUAUUCACCUGUGGCUAGACUGACAACCAUUCGAGUGUUACUCGCUUUGGCUGCCUCGCAUGGUCUUCUCGUUCAUCAGAUGGACGUUAAGACGGCUUUCCUUAACGGAGAGCUAGACGAGGAAAUUUACAUGCAACAGCCGGAUGGCUUUGUAGUAAAUGGUCAGGAAAGAAAGGUGUGUAAGCUAGUGAAAUCUUUGUAUGGCCUGAAACAAGCGUCUAAGCAAUGGCAUGAGAAGUUCAACACUACUCUGACAUCUGCUGGCUUUGUUGUGAACGAAGCUGACAAAUGUGUAUACUAUCGCUAUGGUGGGGGCGAAGGAGUUAUACUGUGUCUGUAUGUCGAUGACAUACUGAUAUUUGGGACCCACCUCAAGGUCAUUGAGGAGGUCAAGUCCUUUUUAUCUCACAACUUUGAGAUGAAGGACCUGGGAGUGGCUGAUGUUAUUCUGAACAUCAAGCUACUGAGAAAUUCUGAGGGUGGAAUUACACUUUUGCAAUCCCACUAUGUUGAGAAGAUUUUGAGCCGUUUUGGAUAUUCGGACUGCAAACCUUCUACAACACCAUAUGAUUCUACAUGUGCUACUCGUCCUGACAUCUCAUUUGAUGUGUGCAAACUGAGCCGGUUUGUUUCCAAUCCGGGAGAUGUGCAUUGGCAUGCUGUUGAGCGAGUGAUGCGUUAUUUGCAAGGUACUGCGAACUAUGGAAUUCACUAUUCUGGGUACCCGACGGUACUUGAGGGGUAUAGUGAUUCGAAUUGGAUAUCUGAUGCUGAUGAGAUGAAAGCCACAAGUGGACAUGUCUUCACACUUGGUGGUGACACAUCAUGCGUCGAAGCAGAAUGGCUUCGAGAGCUUUUGAUGGAUUUUCCGGUGGUUGAUAAACCGGUGCCGGCUGUCCUUAUGAACUAUGACAAUCAAACAAUGAUUGCCAAGGCUAAGAGUUCAAAGGACAACAUGAAAUCCACAAAGCACAUAAGAAGAAGAUUGAAAUCUAUCAGAAAAUCAAGAAACUCCGGAGUAAUAGUGUUGGAUUAUAUCCAGACGGCUAAGAAUCUGGGAGACCCUUUUACGAAAGGGCUAUCACGGAUUGUGAUAGAAAAUGCAUCGAGGGAGAUGGGUAUGAGACGCACGUAA
rnacentral:rRNA from 1 species